UGUUCGAGCGUCAUUGCAACCCUCAAGCGCUGCUUGGUAUUGGGUGCCACCCGUGUGGUGCGCCUCAAAGGUAUUGGCGGCAGCACUCAGCUUCUAGCGUAGUAAUUGUCUCGCUCUGGAGUCUAGGUGUCUGGCUGCCGGAACCCCUCAUUUAUACAAAGGUUGACCUCGGAUCAGGUAGGGAUACCCGCUGAACUUAA
rnacentral:misc_RNA from 1 species